CGAUGGAUACUUGGUGUUGGAGGUAUUGACCCCUUCAGUGCCGAAGCAAACGCGUUAAGUAUCCCGCCUGGGGAGUACGGUCGCAAGAUUAAAACUCAAAGAAAUUGACGGGGGCCCGCACAAGCGGUGGAGCAUGUGGUUUAAUUCGAUGCAACGCGAAAAACCUUACCUGGGCUCGAAAUGUAGAGGAAGAUAGCAGAAAUGUUAUCGCCUUCGGGUCUCUAUAUAGGUGCUGCAUGGCUGUCGUCAG
rnacentral:rRNA from 1 species